GACGAACGCUGGCGGCGUGCUUAACACAUGCAAGUCGAACGGAAAGGCGAUGCUUUUGCGGCGUGCUCGAGUGGCGAACGGGGGAGUAACACGCGAGUAAAAUGCCCUUGACAUUGGGAUAACUUCAGGAAACUGGGGCUAAUACAGGAUAGGAGCUCCUGCUGCAUGGUGGGGGUUGGUAAGAUUCGGCGGUUGGGGAUGGACUCGCUGCUUACCCGCUUGUUUGGGGGGUAGUGGUGUACCAAGUGUUUGACGGGUAGCCGGCCUGGGAGGGUGACCGGCCUCAUGGGGACUGAGAUACGCACCAGUAUGCUACGGGAGGCAGUAGUCGGGAGUCUGGCGGAACGGGCGCGAGCCUGAUGCAGCAGCGCCCCGUUCGUGAUGACGGCCUAUGGGUUGUAAACCGCUUUCGCCGUAGACGAAGCGUGAGUGACGGUAACGGGUAAAGAAGCACCGGCUAACUACGUG
rnacentral:rRNA from 1 species